UGGGGAAUAUUGCACAAUGGGCGCAAGCCUGAUGCAGCCAUGCCGCGUGUGUGAAGAAGGCCUUCGGGUUGUAAAGCACUUUCAGCGAGGAGGAAGGUGGUGAGCUUAAUACGCUCAUCAAUUGACGUUACUCGCAGAAGAAGCACCGGCUAACUCCGUGCCAGCAGCCGCGGUAAUACGGAGGGUGCAAGCGUUAAUCGGAAUUACUGGGCGUAAAGCGCACGCAGGCGGUUUGUUAAGUCAGAUGUGAAAUCCCCGGGCUCAACCUGGGAACUGCAUUUGAAACUGGCAAGCUAGAGUCUCGUAGAGGGGGGUAGAAUUCCAGGUGUAGCGGUGAAAUGCGUAGAGAUCUGGAGGAAUACCGGUGGCGAAGGCGGCCCCCCUGGACGAAGACUGACGCUCAGGUGCGAAAGCGUGGGGCAGCAAACAGGAUUAGAUACCCUGGUAGUCCACGCUGUAAACGAUGUCGAUUUGGAGGUUGUGCCCUUGAGGCGUGGCUUCCGGAGCUAACGCGUUAAAUCGACCGCCUGGGGAGUACGGCCGCAAGGUUAAAACUCAAAUGAAUUGACGGGGUCAUAGCUG
rnacentral:rRNA from 1 species